GAAAUGCGAUAAGUAAUGUGAAUUGCAGAAUUCAGUGAAUCAUCGAAUCUUUGAACGCACCUUGCGCUCCUUGGUAUUCCUUGGAGCAUGCCUGUUUGAGUAUCAUGAAAUCUUCAAAGUAAAUCUUUUGUUAACUCAAUUGGUUUCUACUUUGGUAUUGGAGGUCUAUGCAGCUUCACACCUGCUCCUCUUUGUUCAUUAGCUGGAUCUCAGUGUUAUGCUUGGUUCCACUCGGCGUGAUAAGUUAUCUAUCGCUGAGGACACUGUAAAAGGUGGCCAAGGUAAAUGCAGAUGAACCGCUUCUAAUAGUCCAUUGACUUGGACAAUACUUUUAUGAUCUGAUCUCAAAUCAGGUAGGACUACCCGCUGAACUUAAGC
rnacentral:misc_RNA from 1 species